UUAAAGCUUGUGGAUAUUUCUUCCCCCUCGGGGAAAGCUUAUGUGAGGAUUUUCUUUUUUAACAGUUCAUUCCAUGAAACCGUUUUUUUCUUGUUUGCUGUUAGAAAAUGUUGGAGCUGAACACAAGGCUUUCAUUGCAGUGCGCUUUACUGGGAAGCAUGUUACUCCUGAGCACAUGCUGCUGCAGGGAAGAUAGUUAUUUGCUAUUUUGUAUUUCAUCUUAGAUUGCUAUCAAGGGAACUAGGAAAGGAUGUAAACAUACUGUUAAUGUCUCUCUUCAAGCUGUGUUUGAGGCAGGUUUCCAUAUGAACAGAAACAAAGACUCAGAAGCACGAAGCUUCAUCUCCUAAGGAAAUCUCUUCCAAUAUACUGAGCCGUUUGACCAGAAGUGAUGUUUUCUGUGGGCCUGUGUGUGCUCUGGUGUUUUCAAAGAAGCCCACGAACCCGACAUGAAGUGGAAAGUUGAAGCGCUGUGAUUUGUUAAGUUAAAACAAAGUAGACAUUCUCAACCUAUAGAAAUAUUCUAUUUAAAAAUAAAUCCAAGUGGAUCAUGCAAAGCUAAAAUCUUAAUUCUAUUGAAAGCAAUUGACUUAAGUAAAACUUCAUAGAUAGCUGUGUUUUGCAAGAUAGUUCCUUUUGCUUGUCUUCAGGGUUUUUUUUUCAAUUCCUUUUUCAAAAAAAUAAUUUCAUGGUCAAGUAGAUAGGCUUUCUAUAUUUAAUUUUGUACAGUCUUCUUUUCUUUUACCCCUCUGCCUGGACCUUUUCUGCAGAAGCUUUGCUGUGAUUUAUCUUUUCAAGCUCCCAUAAUAAAGAAUUAGCUAGUUUAAUAGUGAAGCUGAAGUUAGUGAGAUUCAAAUAUUAUGUAAGCCUCAAAUUAAAAAAAAUGAAAAAGAUACUAAGGGUCUAGUGGAGGGCCACAAGGAUGAUCAGGGAUCUGGAGCAUCUCUCUUAGGAGAGACUGCGAGAGCUGGGCCUCUUUAGCCUAGAGAAGAGAACACUGAGAGGGGAUCUCAUUAAUGCAUAUAAAUAUCUCAAAA